AAUAGACAAUGGCCAAAGCUUCCCAAGAAGCGCGGGGAACCCAAUUUUUCGGGGUGAAGCCGCCGCCGUGCGGCAGGGUGAUUGCUCUUUGACCCGAACCCGUCAGCUAACCUCGCAGGCCAAUAAGGAGAGGAUGA
rnacentral:sRNA from 2 species